rnacentral:rRNA from 1 species
CAUGGCUGUCGUCAGCUCGUGUCGUGAGAUGUUCGGUUAAGUCCGCUAACGAGCGCAACCCUCGUCGUAUGUUAUAUGUGUCAUACGAGACUGCCGGUAAAAGCCGGAGGAAGGUGAGGAUGAUGUCAAGUCAGCAUGACCUUUAUAUCCAGGGCUACACACACGCUACAAUGGUCUGUACAAUGGGUAGCCAAGCCGCGAGGCGGAGCCAAUCCUGAAAGCAGGCCUCAGUUCAGAUUGCAGUCUGCAACUCGACUGCAUGAAGCCGGAGUUGCUAGUAACCGCAGGUCAGCAAUACUGCGGUGAAUACGUUCCCGGGUCUU